GCUCGACUGGCCCAGUGGUUAAGGCACCUGCUUUACACGUGUCCUGGAUGGAGCUGUUGCCCUUGUUUGCAACAGCUUGACCCCCACAAUGGCAAUGUUCGCAGGGGAUCCUCGGUUCGAUCCCGAGGUUGAGCA